rnacentral:rRNA from 1 species
UUCUGCAGGUUCACCUACAAACUGGCAGGAUCAACCAGGUUAACCUGGUUGAUCCUGCCAGUAGUCAUAUGCUUGUCUCAAAGAUUAAGCCAUGCAUGUCUAAGUAUAAAGGUUUAUACAAUGAAACUGCGAACGGCUCAUUCAAACAGUUAUAGUUGAUUUGUGCUUUGAAUUUAUAUUCGUAAAUGGAUAACCGUAGUAAUUCUAGAGCUAAUACAUGCGUUAUGUAGGGACUUUAUGGAACCUCAGUAUUGAUCGUGCUUUGAAACCAGGCCUCCGGGUCUUGUGGUGAUUCAUGAUAACUGAUCGAAAUCGCUGGGUUGUACCCGCGAUAUCACAUUCAAGUUUCUGCCCCAUCAGCUUGAUGGUAGUGUAUUGGACAACCAUGGCAUCCACGGGUAACGGGGGAUUUGGGUUCGAUUCCGGAGAGGGAGCCUGGUAAACGGCUACCACUUCUACGGAGGGCAGCAGGCGCGUAAAUUAUCCAAUCCUGACUUAGGGAGGUAGUGACAAGAAAUAAUGAACUGGGAUUUAUCCCGGGGUUACAAUGGGCUUGAUUUGCAAAUUUUAUUUUAGCGAGGAACAAUUGGAGGGCAAGUCUGGUGCCAGCAGCCGCGGUAAUUCCAGCUCCAAUAGUGUAUAUUAAUUUUGCUGCAGUUAUUCAAAGCUCGUAGUUGGACUUCUGGAGGUGGAGACAGGCGGGUGGCUACGGCUGCUGCCGGUCGCUUCCUUCAUCCUUCUGUUAACGUUGUUCGGGAUUGAGUUUUCGACUUCGGGCUCAGACGUUUUUACCUUACUUCAUAUCUCUUUCGAGCAAAUUAUAGUGUUUCAGGCAGGCGUGCGCCGGAAUACAUUAGCAUGGAAUAAUCGAUUGGACCAUGUUUUCCCUUUGUAUUGGUUCGCGAAGGGCGUGGUAAUGAUUAAUAGGAAUAGUUAGAAAGGGGGCCAAAGUAUUUAGCAUCUAGAGGUGAAAUUCUUUGAAAUGAAAUUUCGUAAAGACUAACGUAUGCGAAAGCAUUUGCCAUAUAUAUUUCUCCUUGUUAAUCAAGAGCGAAAGUUAGGGGAUCAAAGACGAUCAGAUACCGUCCUAGUCUUAACCAUAAACUUUGCCGACUAGGGAUCGGGGGACGUGCACAUUCCGCCUCCGGCACCUUACGAGAAAUCAAAGUCUUUGGGUUCUGGGGGUAGUAUGGUCGCAAGGCUGAAACUUAAAGGAAUUGACGGAAGGGCACCACCAGGAGUGGAGCUUGCGGCUCAAUUUGACUCAACACGGGAAAACUUACCAGGUCCAGACAUAGGAAGGAUUGACAGAUUGAUAGCUCUUUCUUGAUUCUAUGGGUGGUGGUGCAUGGCCGUUCUUAGUUGGUGGUGUGAACUGUCUGGUUAAUUCCGUUAACGAACGAGACCUCGGCCUGCUAAAUAGGUGACUGUCUUAUUUCUGACAUUUUUACCUUCUUAGAGGGACUCUGUGUGCAACCACAAGGAAGUUUCGAGGCAAUAACAGGUCUGUGAUGCCCUUAGAUGUCCUGGGCCGCACGCGUGCUACACUGAUACGUACAACAAGGGAUUUACUUGCUGCUUCGAAAACAAAUUCAGGCUAAUCUACAAUACGUAUCGUGCUGCGGAUAGAUCCUUGAAUUUAAGGAUCUUGAAGGAGGAAUUCCUAGUAAGCGCAGGUCAUUAGCCUGCGUUGAUUACGUCCCUGCCCUUUGUACACACCGCCCGUCGCUCCUACCGAUUUCGAGUGGUCCGGUGAACAAUUUUGGACUGUCGAGCAAUCGCGAAAUUAAAGUAAACCCUUAUCACUUAGAGGAAGGAGAAGUCGUAACAAGGUUUCCGUAGGUGAACCUGCAGAAGGAUCAA